GGUAAUGCCGAAUGUGCCCUUCGGGGGAAAGAUUUAUCGCCUUUAGAGCGGCCCGCGUCUGAUUAGCUAGUUGGUGAGGUAACGGCUCACCAAGGCGACGAUCAGUAGCUGGUCUGAGAGGAUGACCAGCCACACUGGGACUGAGACACGGCCCAGACUCCUACGGGAGGCAGCAGUGGGGAAUCUUGCGCAAUGGGCGAAAGCCUGACGCAGCCAUGCCGCGUGAAUGAUGUAGGUCUUAGGAUUGUAAAAUUCUUUCACCGGGGACGAUAAUGACGGUACCCGGAGAAGAAGCCCCGGCUAACUUCGUGCCAGCAGCCGCGGUAAUACGAAGGGGGCUAGCGUUGCUCGGAAUUACUGGGCGUAAAGGGCGCGUAGGCGGAUCGUUAAGUCAGAGGUGAAAUCCCAGGGCUCAACCCUGGAACUGCCUUUGAUACUGGCGAUCUUGAGUAUGAGAGAGGUAUGUGGAACUCCGAGUGUAGAGGUGAAAUU
rnacentral:rRNA from 1 species